rnacentral:lncRNA from 1 species
ACGCUUUCCAGCACAAGUCAGGGAUGUUUUCCGCUUCAGUCCCUCAUCCUUCAAUUUUGCAGAUCCUAAUGCAUUGGUUGUCAAAACCACUUCACUGCAUAGAAGGUAACACCACUAGUAACAGAAAUAACUUCCCUUGGCCCUCUCAUUUGCAACAGCUCAUUCCUAAGGCCCAAUCCCAGUUCCUGAUGGUGGAUGUUGUUCCAGCCUGGAAAGCUUAAUCACUUCCUCUCCAGUAACGAAUAAAUAGACUAGAUUUCACUGAGUCAUCUGUCUGCCCAGCAAAGGACCCUGCAAAAAAGAGAUCAAAGUGGUUUUCACAGUCUUGUUGCAAAGGAAAUCUGAGUUGGGGCCCAAGUAUUCAAAGGGUGUAGAGUGGCUCAAUAUUAGUAUCUAAUUCAGGAGAAUCAUUUCAGUGCAGGCAAAGGAUUUCAGGUCCUUUAUCUGUACAUUUUGCAGGUAAAAAACCUCAGUGCAGGUAAAGAAACCACAUGCCAUGCUGUGGAGUCAGGCUAUUCCCAACUGUAGAGAAAGUCCAUUGAUCCAUGAGUGUGGUGGGGCUGGCCCCAGGGCUAGUGAGAAGCUGUUGCCAUGGCUGCAUUGCUGGUAAGGUGGGAUUCCGUGUGUUUGCCCUGAGCAAUCUGCGCUGCCUCUGUGACUUUCCUCCUCUUCUCAGUCUUACACCGCCUGGUCUUAGGUCAUCUGCUAAGCUGUCACAGAAAGUGACGUACCCUCCACACCUGUGGAUGGUCUGAAGGGCAAGGAGGAAAUUUCAGAAAGCUGUCAGGCACUUGAUGAAAUGAAACCACAGCAUCUGGAAGUUGAUGUCCUUAAGCCAAUGACCAGAAGGAAUGAACCAGAGAACUGAUGUUGUUGUCCAUGGACCUGAUGUUUCUUAUGAGAUUCCAAGUAGAAAAAUUUAUUAGAUUUUGAACACUUAACGG